AGACCCGAAACCCGGUGAUCUAGCCAUGGGCAGGUUGAAGGUUGGGUAACACUAACUGGAGGACCGAACCGACUAAUGUUGAAAAAUUAGCGGAUGACCUGUGGCUGGGGGUGAAAGGCCAAUCAAACCGGGAGAUAGCUGGUUCUCCCCGAAAGCUAUUUAGGUAGCGCCUCGUGAAUUCAUCUCCGGGGGUAGAGCACUGUUUCGGCUAGGGGGCCAUCCCGGCUUACCAACCCGAUGCAAACUGCGAAUACCGGAGAAUGUUAUCACGGGAGACACACGGCGGGUGCUAACGUCCGUCGUGAAGAGGGAAACAACCCAGACCGCCAGCUAAGGUCCCAAAGUCAUGGUUAAGUGGGAAACGAUGUGGGAAGGCCCAGACAGCCAGGAUGUUGGCUUAGAAGCAGCCAUCAUUUAAAGAAAGCGUAAUAGCUCACUGGUCGAGUCGGCCUGCGCGGAAGAUGUAACGGGGCUAAACCAUGCACCGAAGCUGCGGCAGCGACGCUGAUGCGUUGUUGGGUAGGGGAGCGUUCUGUAAGCCUGCGAAGGUGUGUCGUGAGGCAUGCUGGAGGUAUCAGAAGUGCGAAUGCUGACAUAAGUAACGAUAAAGCGGGUGAAAAGCCCGCUCGCCGGAAGACCAAGGGUUCCUGUCCAACGUUAAUCGGGGCAGGGUGAGUCGACCCCUAAGGCGAGGCCGAAAGGCGUAGUCGAUGGGAAACGGGUUAAUAUUCCCGUACUUGGUGUUACUGCGAAGGGGGGACGGAGAAGGCUAUGUUGGCCGGGCGACGGUUGUCCCGGUUUAAGCGUGUAGGUGUGUGUUCCAGGUAAAUCCGGUUCACUUUAACACUGAGGCGUGAUGACGAGGCACUACGGUGCUGAAGCAACAAAUGCCCUGCUUCCAGGAAAAGCCUCUAAGCAUCAGGUAACAUCAAAUCGUACCCCAAACCGACACAGGUGGUCAGGUAGAGAAUACCAAGGCGCUUGAGAGAACUCGGGUGAAGGAACUAGGCAAAAUGGUGCCGUAACUUCGGGAGAAGGCACGCUGACACGUAGGUGAAGUGAUUUACUCAUGGAGCUGAAGUCAGUCGAAGAUACCAGCUGGCUGCAACUGUUUAUUAAAAACACAGCACUGUGCAAACACGAAAGUGGACGUAUACGGUGUGACGCCUGCCCGGUGCCGGAAGGUUAAUUGAUGGGGUCAGCGCAAGCGAAGCUCCUGAUCGAAGCCCCGGUAAACGGCGGCCGUAACUAUAACGGUCCUAAGGUAGCGAAAUUCCUUGUCGGGUAAGUUCCGACCUGCACGAAUGGCGUAAUGAUGGCCAGGCUGUCUCCACCCGAGACUCAGUGAAAUUGAACUCGCUGUGAAGAUGCAGUGUACCCGCGGCAAGACGGAAAGACCCCGUGAACCUUUACUAUAGCUUGACACUGAACAUUGAGCCUUGAUGUGUAGGAUAGGUGGGAGGCUUUGAAGUGUGGACGCCAGUCUGCAUGGAGCCGACCUUGAAAUACCACCCUUUAAUGUUUGAUGUUCUAACGUGGACCCGUGAUCCGGGUUGCGGACAGUGUCUGGUGGGUAGUUUGACUGGGGCGGUCUCCUCCUAAAGAGUAACGGAGGAGCACGAAGGUUGGCUAAUCCUGGUCGGACAUCAGGAGGUUAGUGCAAUGGCAUAAGCCAGCUUGACUGCGAGCGUGACGGCGCGAGCAGGUGCGAAAGCAGGUCAUAGUGAUCCGGUGGUUCUGAAUGGAAGGGCCAUCGCUCAACGGAUAAAAGGUACUCCGGGGAUAACAGGCUGAUACCGCCCAAGAGUUCAUAUCGACGGCGGUGUUUGGCACCUCGAUGUCGGCUCAUCACAUCCUGGGGCUGAAGUAGGUCCCAAGGGUAUGGCUGUUCGCCAUUUAAAGUGGUACGCGAGCUGGGUUUAGAACGUCGUGAGACAGUUCGGUCCCUAUCUGCCGUGGGCGCUGGAGAACUGAGGGGGGCUGCUCCUAGUACGAGAGGACCGGAGUGGACGCAUCACUGGUGUUCGGGUUGUCAUGCCAAUGGCACUGCCCGGUAGCUAAAUGCGGAAGAGAUAAGUGCUGAAAGCAUCUAAGCACGAAACUUGCCCCGA
rnacentral:rRNA from 2 species